UACGGAGGGUGCAAGCGUUAAUCGGAAUUACUGGGCGUAAAGCGCGCGUAGGCGGUUUGGUAAGUCGGAUGUGAAAGCCCUGGGCUUAACCUGGGAAUUGCAUUCGAUACUGCCUGACUAGAGUAUGGUAGAGGGAAGUGGAAUUUCCGGUGUAGCGGUGAAAUGCGUAGAUAUCGGAAGGAACACCAGUGGCGAAGGCGACUUCCUGGGCCAAUACUGACGCUGAGGUGCGAAAGCGUGGGGAGCAAACAGG
rnacentral:ncRNA from 2 species